rnacentral:rRNA from 1 species
AUUGAACGCUGGCGGCGUGCUUAACACAUGCAAGUCGAUCGGUAACAGGUGUAGCAAUACAUGCUGACGAGAGGCGGACGGGUGAGUAAUGCUUGGGAAUCUGCCUAUUAGUGGGGGACAACCCGGGGAAACUCGGGCUAAUACCGCAUACGCUCUACGGAGGAAAGCCGGGGACCGCAAGGCCUGGCGCUAAUAGAUGAGCCCAAGUCGGAUUAGCUAGUUGGUAGGGUAACGGCCUACCAAGGCGACAAUCCGUAGCUGGUCUGAGAGGACGACCAGCCACACCGGAACCUGAGACACGGUCCGGACUCCUACGGGAGGCAGCAGUGGGGAAUAUUGGACAAUGGGGGCAACCCUGAUCCAGCCAUG